CCCUUAGAUGUUCUGGGCCGCACGCGCGCUACACUGACGGAGUCAACGAGUUGUUCUGCAUCGGAAGGUGUGGGUAAUCUUUUGAAACUUCGUCGUGCUGGGGAUAGAUCUUUGCAAUUUUCGAUCUUGAACGAGGAAUUCCUAGUAAGCGUGAUUCAUCAGAUCGCGUUGAUUACGUCCCUGCCCUUUGUACACACCGCCCGUCGCUACUACCGAUUGAAUGGUUUAGUGAGGCCUCGGGACUGGCGCGCUCGAGUAGCAAUACACCUGCGCGCCGGGAACUUGGUCAAACUUGAUCAUUUAGAGGAAGUAAAAGUCGUAACA
rnacentral:rRNA from 1 species